rnacentral:lncRNA from 1 species
CAAAAAAAAAAAGAGAAAAAGAAAAAGGCAAUUGACUCUUUAAAAUGAAAAUAAUGCAUUGCUGCGUUUAUCAUUAAAUUAUUUGGUAAUAUCGCAAAGGACAGAAAGGGGUAAAUAGAAGUAUACUGUUGUAAGAUUGUAUUGUAGGUGCAAUGGCAUAGUAUUAAUUCAGUUAAUAUAGAUUGCGACCCAUAGAACCGUAAGUGAGUUAAAAUGCAGUAAUUUUUUUUAAAUGGCUAACCCAUAACGCAGGAAAGGAGGAAACAAAAAAAUGGGUACAACAAAUAGAAUAAAAUAGCAAAGUGAUUACAUAAAUUCAACCAAAUUAGUAAUUAAUGUUAAAUGUAAGUUCACUAAACAUUCCAACUAAAACUCAGAUGUUAAUCAGUUUUUAAUGAAGAUUAUCUGCUGCCUUGAAAAUAUGUAUUUUAUAUAUAAAGACAUGGAUAGAGUACAUGUAAAAUGAUAGAGAAAAAAGAUCCUAUGUAAACAGUAAUAAGAAACUGGAGUGGCUGUAUUAACAUCAGACAAAAUGAUGCCAAGACAAGGAGUAUUACCAGAUGUAGUAGUUGGGGUCCAGUUAGGAGACAAAAACCACCAUUUAAACAAGGAAAUUUUAAUGUAAGAAAUGAUUAGAAUAAUGGCAAAUUGACUAGUGAAAGUUAAGAUAAUUUUAACAAAUAAAAGACUAGCAGGUAUCAGGAGCAACCGUUAUGGCUAAGACUGAGAUAGAGCUCCCAAUAUAGAGCUUUCCCCCUACUAGGGCUGAAAUCCAGAUGUCUUUGGAAAGGGCACACCUUUGAUUCACUGGAUAGUGGAGAAGUCACUAAGGUGCCUCGUAAGUGGGAGCAUAAGUGGGAGUUGCUAGAAGUUUCUGGGGUGCCAGGGGGGCCAUCCACAGAAAAGUGGAGUCUUAAAUCAUCAGAGUGAACUCCCUGAGUGUCAGAGGGAGCUGGUGGUGGCUGGGCACUGCUGGAACCGAAAUCUGGAGAAGCAGCCCUCUAGGAGCCCAGCAUGCCUGCAGGACGGCCCUGGGAUUCUAGGACUGAAAAGAUGUGGGGAGCAGUGACUUGGUUUGGUGUGCAGGCCCAUACCAUCUGGGAAAUCCCGGAUAAUCUCCAGCUGAACACUUGAGAAAAUUGCAGCCUGCAGCAUGGGAGAAACCACACAGGGAAUAAGCAUGCAGGGGAGGGUGGAGUGUGCCCUACAACAGCCUAGAGAGUGAAUCAUACCAGAACCAGGAAAGGAAAAUCCCUUCCUCCUCCAGCGUCCUCCAGAACCCUCUACUGACAAGGUUUAACACUCGGCUAGCUAGCAAAGGAGAAAUAUUUCCAAAAUCCAUCUUCAUUUAUUACAAAGUAGGCCAAAAUAUGGUGAAUUUGGAGCUAAGAGGAAAUACAUCAAUAAACAGCAUAGUCUGCCCCUUUGAGUACUCACUGUCCAUAUAUACCUUCUACGCACACUUGAAUGCCAUACAAUAAUAACUCUACAUUUCACCUAACAGGAUACUCAUCAUCUCCAAAAUGAGGAGAUGCAACAAUCAUUGCAUACAGUGCUGUGGCUAUAUUAAUUGCCCUUUAGAAUCAUCACAGUUCCACUGGAUAGUCUGUUGCCCAAAGACUAAUUGUGAAUUUAACCUCUAGCAACUUGCAUAUAAAAUUUUUGUUAAUAGAAGGGAGCAAGAAGAGGAAAAUGUGAGCAUAUAUACAUAAGUACAUACACAUGAAAAGCAAAAAAGGAAAUAUUCAAAAUGACUACAGCCCUUUUUUCUGCAGUUGGUCACAAGGCCCUAAUUUUUACUUAUGGCUUCCUUCUUCUACUGUUCAUUGAUUUCGCCCACCUCCAGCCAGAACCUGGUAGAGUAAUUCAAACUCUCAUUCCUGAAAGUUCCAAGUCCUCAAUUAUCCUGCCUUUUAUUUUGGUUUCUGUACUUUUCUACUACACUUUUCUAUUGCAUAUGGAGUACUAAUAUACACCCCAAACUGUCUCCUGGGUUACAGACAUAGUCUUCCUUGCCCCUAAUGUAUAAAGGCAACCCAGUUUCCUCUUGGCAAUAGGGAUCAGUCACUCCACCUAGUAGAGCAAUCCACCUUUCUGCCUGUUGAUUCAGUAGCAUGAGGAGUCCAGAAUAGCCAAAUGGAAAUCUUUCUCCAAUUCAGUGGAACCAUUGUGUCUCAUGGUGGAAACCAUGUUCCCUUUAAGAACUCAGAUCUCUGAAAUGGCAGAGCUCAAAGAUGCCAGAAGCAGCAGCAAAUAUUCUGCAAGUGUGUUAUUAGGUGUUGCUACGGUCUGAAUGUUGGUGACCUCCCAAAAUUUAUAUGUUGAAAUCUAAUCACAAACGUAAUAGUAUUAAGAAAUGGGGCCUUUAGGAAGUGAUUAAGUCAUGAGAGUGGAACCCUCAUAAAUGAGAUUAGUGCCUUGGUAAAAGAGGUGCAAGGGAACUGUUCACCCCUUCCUCCAGGUGAAGAGCCACAAGAAGAUGCCAUAUUGGAAGCAGAAAGCAAGCCCUCGCCAGGCACUGAAUCUGCUUGAUCUGGGACUUCCCAGCAUCUAGAACUAGAAACAGAACCAAUGGGAUGUACAUAAAGAGAUUUAUUGUAAGAAAUCGGCACAUGUGAUUAUGGAGGCUGACAAAUCCCAAGAUCUGCAGGGGGAGGUGGCAAGCUGGAGACUCAGAAGCUGUUUCGGAAAAAAAGAAAUAGAGGUUUAAAGAACACAGAACAUACCUUCAACCGUCAUGGCAGGGUGGUGGACCACGAGGAAAUGACUGUGACAAGUCAGCUAAUCUUGGAACAAAUUAGGGAAGGAAAUGAUGAACAACAGCUGCAAAGAAAAAAAUGCAAGAAUUUGCAAAUGAUGUCCACUUUGUCUUUAAUUUACCCAAUGCUGGAAAGAAUACUGGUCACCUCACUUUUCGGUAAUAUACGCACCAUCGUCUUCAGACACAGAAGAAUGAGAAAUAAUUAAAAGUCACUGAGACGGCUCUCACCUCCUGUACUUCAUUAUCACACAAUGUCUUGCUAGAGAGGCAUUUUCAUUCCAGAUGAAUAUGUGGUUGAUUAGCGCUUUUCCAAAAGCAAAUUGUCUGAGGUUCUCUGUACUGCAUUUCCUGGUACCAAUUCCUCAUUAAGGUGAUUCAUGAAUUUUUUUUCAAUUAGGUUCGUAUGUCUUUUUAAAAAUCAAUUUGGUGUCUACCUUUCAACUAAAUGAAUGAGCCAGUGUAUCAUUCAGACAGGUGUGGACUUGCAUAACUAUUAAGUUAAAUGAGCCUUUCAUAGAAUUGAGAAAAUGGGCAAGGAUUAAAAGUGGAAUCUGAACAGGAAUCACUAUUUCAAAAAGAACAAAUUAGAAAAUAUGAAUAAACAGGUGAACUACAUGAGCCCUUCCAUUCAGAAUAGCAUGGCGGGUAAGCAUGGGCUCUGGAGUCAGACUUCUCUGAGUUCCAAUCUUGGCUCUUUUGCUAACUUCCUUUGUAAUUAAACAAGGUCGUAACACUUUCCACCUCUCAGCUUUUUCAUGUGUGAGAUGAGAUCAUGAUAGCAGCUGUGUCCUUGGGUGGUGGUGAGAAUUAAAUGGGAAAUCGCCUUUAAAGCACUGAACUGAGCACACAGUAAACAUUUAAUAAACGUUAGUUCCUAUUAUUCCUAAAAUAAUACUAUUCAUUUAGAAUCACUUAUUAGUAAUCAAUGCUAACUUGACCUUAACGAUUAAAAUAAAGAUAAAAAUUCAUGGGCUAUCGAAACCUAUAAUGUGGUACUCAUUAUUCAAGUGGAAUGAAAACGCUGAAAAGAAAAUGUUUUUUCAAAAUUUCAUCUGGCAAAUAUUGCCAAAUAGUUUAAAGCAACCCUACAUGUUUUUUCCAUACCUCAUUAUCCUGUGCCAUGAGGGGGAAGAAAGGAUGUAUUUUAAUUGUUGUGACCACCUUCAUCUAUUGAAGUCUUGAUUUUUCAGGCACCUCCUUCGUUUUAUUAAAUAUUUUAUGCUGUGCAUGUGAAAUAUGUAGUCCAUGUACCCAGGGAUAUUUCUGUCUACUAGUUUUCCUUGUUCCUAAAAACAGAAAUGAGGAAUGCCUACGGCUAAAAAGAAAAAAAAAACUGUCUUCCUGUCAGCAGCUCCUUCUGCUGAUAUGUCACCGAUGCCAAAUUAUAUAUUCACGUAAUUUGCAUUUUCCCACUCUUAGUUUUUUUUUUAAAUCAUUAGGUCAAAAGCUAAAAUACAUUCCUUUUUAUAGCAGAAAAUUGCUCCUGUUUGUUCAAAGCCAAUUUGAAAGAUUUGAUCAUCAGAAAAACAUAUAUGUGUCUAUAUAUAAUUUCUAAAUUUGGCUUCAAACCCCUACUUAUUUAGUAGUGCCACACAAUAGCUUUUUUUAAUGUAAGAUUUUCCUUUAAGAAAUGGGA